rnacentral:rRNA from 1 species
AACGAACGCUGGCGGCAGGCCUAACACAUGCAAGUCGAACGCCGUAGCAAUACGGAGUGGCAGACGGGUGAGUAACACGUGGGAACGUACCCUUCGGUUCGGGAUAACUCAGGGAAACUUGAGCUAAUACCGGAUACGUCCGAGAGGAGAAAGAUUUAUUGCCGAGGGAUCGGCCCGCGUCUGAUUAGCUUGUUGGUGAGGUAACGGCUCACCAAGGCGACGAUCAGUAGCUGGCUGAGAGGAUGAUCAGCCACAUUGGGACUGAGACACGGCCCAAACUCCUACGGGAGGCAGCAGUGGGGAAUAUUGGACAAUGGGCGAAAGCCUGAUCCAGCAAUGCCGCGUGUGUGAAGAA